UACGUAGGGAGCAAGCGUUGUCCGGAAUCAUUGGGCGUAAAGCGCGCGUAGGUGGCCUCAUAAGUCCGCUGUGAAAGUCAAAGGCUCAACCUUUGAAAGCCGGUGGAUACUGUGGGGCUAGAGUACGGAAGAGGCGAGUGGAAUUCCUGGUGUAGCGGUGGAAUGCGCAGAUAUCAGGAGGAACACCGAUUGCGAAGGCAGCUCGCUGGAACGUUACUGACGCUGAGACGCGAAAGCGUGGGGAGCAAACAGG
rnacentral:rRNA from 1 species